AUGGGAUCGGGGGAGGAAAAAAAAGAUGAGGAGGAGGAUAUAUAUUAUGCUUUCAAAUGUUAUAUAAAUCGCACAAAAACAAUAUAUCAUCAGGAAUACAACAGUAUCAUGUGACAGCAACAACAUCUAGCUUGGAUACUGAGUCACUGAGUGAGCGAGUCUGUCCUACGGCCCCGUCACCAGGGCAGGAGUCGGCCGUCGUUGCCCCUCUGUCUGGCCUUGAUGCCCUCCUGAAAAUUGUAUGCCCAUCGGCCACUGUGGCCUUGGUGCCCCGCUCUCUGCCUGUUUUGUUUUUUUCUUUCCCUGCCCUGCCUCUCUGCCCUCUCCUGUAGAGAGUCCGCCCCAGCAACGGAACGUUAGUACAUGUACUUGAUUGUAACAGUAACGUAAUCAACACGUGUGGUGUGACCAAUAAAAAUGCAAGUGUGAAA